rnacentral:rRNA from 1 species
GACGAACGCUGGCGGCGUGCUUAACACAUGCAAGUCGAACGGUGAAGCGAGUGCUUGCACUCGUGGAUCAGUGGCGAACGGGUGAGUACCACGUGAGUAACCUGCCCAUCACUCUGGGAUAAGCACUGGAAACGGUGUCUAAUACUGGAUACGACCAACCCUUGCAUGGGGUGUUGGUGGAAAGAUUUAUCGGUGAUGGAUGGACUCGCGGCCUAUCAGCUUGUUGGCGGGGUAAUGGCCCACCAAGGCGACGACGGGUAGCCGGCCUGAGAGGGUGACCGGCCACACUGGGACUGAGACACGGCCCAGACUCCUACGGGAGGCAGCAGUGGGGAAUAUUGCACAAUGGGCGAAAGCCUGAUGCAGCGACGCCGCGUGAGGGAUGACGGCCUUCGGGUUGUAAACCUCUUUCAGCAGGGAAGAAGCGAAAGUGACGGUACCUGCAGAAGAAGCACCGGCUAACUACGUG